rnacentral:rRNA from 1 species
UACGUAGGGGGGCGAGCGUUGUCCGGAUUCAUUGGGCGUAAAGAGCUCGUAGGCGGUUCGGUAAGUCAGGUGUGAAAUCUCCACGCUCAACGUGGAGGGGCCACCUGAUACUGCCGUGACUCGAGUCCGGUAGGGGAGUAUGGAAUUCCCGGUGUAGCGGUGAAAUGCGCAGAUAUCGGGAGGAACACCAGUGGCGAAGGCGGUACUCUGGGCCGGAACUGACGCUGAGGAGCGAAAGCGUGGGUAGCAAACAGG